rnacentral:lncRNA from 1 species
AAUCGCGAUUGGACGACCCAGAUUAAAUCAUGAUGGACGGCCCAGAUUGAAAGGUGAGAGUUACAAAUAAUCGCAUCCACACCCAACCCCAAACCCUAGCCGCCAGAAACCUCGUCGGAGAAGACGACCCAGCCACUGGAGGAACCUGCCACUGCCACCACCUGCCGCUGCAUCGGAGGAUUUUCUGACUUCCAAACGAGGUAAAAUUUCUCCCAU